UUUGCAGUGCUAAGGAAUUAGAGAUGUGUUUUGUAUUGAAGAACACUUCCAGCAAACGUUCGCGCGUUUUUCGACUGUGGUGCUGUAAUC
rnacentral:precursor_RNA from 1 species